AUUUGGCUAUGGAUUGGUCUCGGUGGCUUCCAUAUCAUAUGAGCAAUGGAUUUAGGAUGCUAUUAUACUAGAUUGAUGUCUCGUAUUUGUUUAUAUGAUGUUAGAAUGCUCAAUUUAUAAUUCACAUUUAGAGGUCUUACUUACUACAUGAAAAUAUGAUUAAGAGUGCAAAUGGAUCGGGUCGGAUUGGAUCAAAAGUGAUCCCGAUCCUA
rnacentral:lncRNA from 1 species